GAUGAACGCUGGCGGCGUGCCUAAUACAUGCAAGUCGAGCGAACAGACGAGGAGCUUGCUCCUCUGACGUUAGCGGCGGACGGGUGAGUAACACGUGGAUAACCUACCUAUAAGACUGGGAUAACUUCGGGAACCGGAGCUAAUACCGGAUAAUAUAUUUAACCGCAUGGGUCAAUAGUGAAAGACGGUUUUGCUGUCACUUAUAGAUGGAUCCGCGCCGCAUUAGCUAGUUGGUAAGGUAACGGCUUACCAAGGCGACGAUGCGUAGCCGACCUGAGAGGGUGAUCGGCCACACUGGAACUGAGACACGGUCCAGACUCCUACGGGAGGCAGCAGUAGGGAAUCUUCCGCAAUGGGCGAAAGCCUGACGGAGCAACGCCGCGUGAGUGAUGAAGGUCUUCGGAUCGUAAAACUCUGUUAUUAGGGAAGAACAAAUGUGUAAGUAACUAUGCACGUCUUGACGGUACCUAAUCAGAAAGCCACGGCUAACUACGUG
rnacentral:rRNA from 1 species